rnacentral:rRNA from 1 species
UGGGGAAUAUUGCGCAAUGGCCGCAAGGCUGACGCAGCGACGCCGCGUGGGGGAUGAAGCAUUUCGGUGUGUAAACCCCUGUUGCUCGGGACGAACAGCUCUUUUCGAGGAGCCUGACGGUACCGGGUGAGGAAGCACCGGCUAACUCCGUGCCAGCAGCCGCGGUAAUACGGAGGGUGCGAGCGUUGUCCGGAAUCACUGGGCGUAAAGGGCGCGUAGGCGGUCUGCUAAGCGUGUGGUGAAAGCUCGGGGCUCAACCCUGAGUCGGCCAUGCGAACUGGUGGACUAGAGCACUGUAGAGGCAGGUGGAAUUCCGGGUGUAGCGGUGGAAUGCGUAGAGAUCCGGAAGAACACCGGUGGCGAAGGCGGCCUGCUGGGCAGUAGCUGACGCUGAGGCGCGACAGCGUGGGGAGCAAACAG